AUUUAUUCAGUAUCUCUCGUAUUGUUGUAUUGAACUGUUUAUUAUAUACUAAGGUGGUACUAUUCCGGAAUUUAAGAUUCUUCAACAUGGACAGUGAAUUAGAAAUCGGGGUUACAAACACUUUUAAUAAUUCCAACUCUACUGAUGAAACAGUGGUGUCUGAAAGCAUUGUCCCUCCUAGCCUUCAGUAUUUGUUUGGUGUGUCUGGAAACUUGAUCGCCAUGAUUCUCCUCUAUCGGUCGUCCGGUCGACACAAAUGGAAGCCGUUUUAUAGACUAGUUGGAGCUCUAGCCAUCACCGACUUCUGUGGAAUAGCUCUGGUAUAUCCUGCAGUAAUGGUUCGAUACAUUUCUGGAUUCACAUACGACUUCCCAAAAGAACUUUGUGGAUUUGUCUCGUUUUGGUUUUCUUUCUCUUUCCUGUCCUCUGCUUUUAUCGUCAGUGCUAUGUCGUUUGACCGAUUCCUGGCAGUCACUUUUCCGAUAUUUUACAGAAAGUCUCAAGUCAAAAGAACGAAUUUAAUUCUGGUUCUCAUUUGGAUUUUCGUAGCUUGUAUAUCAUCUCUUAAUUUAGUAGGUGUUGGCUCUGUGAAAAACUUUUAUCCGGGCUCUUGGUGUUUUCUAGACUUUGCAAACAAAGGAACACUGGAGCGAAUAAAUACGUACAUAUAUUCAAUCACUGGAUUACUUAUUUUAUCAACCACUGUCGUUUUUAACAUAGCAGUUGUCUACGCCUUAAAAAGAAAACCAAACCGUUCAGCAUCGGACAUCAAGAGAAAGAGAAAUGAGAUUUUCAUCAUUGUUUUCCUUUUCUCGAUUGUGACGCUUUUCUCAAUAUGCUGGGCUCCAUUAAUGGUCCGAAUGCUAAUUAACGCCAGCUCAAGUGACCCAAAGAAUGGACCAGAAGAACUCUUAGCAGUGCGUAUGACCAUAAGCAACGCUAUUGUAGACCCUUGGAUCUAUAUCAUUUUGAGAAAAGAAAAUCUUUUAAAUAUUUCUAAGUUAGUUCAACGAGUUCGCAAAAGUGGGUAUCUACCAACAGUAUGUUUUACCAGGGAAUCUACGGGAGUAUGCGAAGUUUCAACUAUAUCAUCAUCUCGGACAUGUUAGACCCAUUUAUCAAAUUGAUAUACAUGUUUUUUUCGAAUGAGGGAUGCAUUUUAUUUUAGAUUUAUCAUAUCGUUUUUUUAUGUUUAUAAAACGUAUUCUUGAUAUGUACAUAAAAUUCAUUUUAAAUAUAC
rnacentral:sRNA from 1 species